GCAGUCGUACGAGAGUUUAAAACUCAAGUGGCGGACGGGUGAGUAACACGUAAGAAUUUACCUUUAGGAGGGGGACAACAGCUAGAAAUGACUGCUAAUACCCCAUAUGUUUUCGAAUGAAAUGGAUUUUUCCGCCUAGAGAGAAGCUUGCGGCUGAUUAGCUUGUUGGUAAGGUAAUGGCUUACCAAGGCGACGAUCAGUAUCUGGUUUGAGAGGAUGAUCAGACACACUGGAACUGAGACACGGUCCAGACUCCUACGGGAGGCAGCAGUGGGGAAUUUUCCGCAAUGGGCGAAAGCCUGACGGAGCAAUCUCGCGUGAGGGAUGACGGCCUAUGGGUUGUAAACCUCUUUUUUCAGGGAGGAAUAAAAUGACGUGUACCUGAAGAAUAAGCAUCGGCUAACUCCGUGCCAGCAGCCGCGGUAAGACGGAGGAUGCAAGUGUUAUCCGGAAUCACUGGGCGUAAAGCGUCUGUAGGUGGUCAAAUAAGUCAACUGUUAAAUCUUGAGGCUCAACCUCAAAACCGCAGUCGAAACUAUUAGACUAGAGUAUAGUAGGGGUAAAGGGAAUUUCCAGUGGAGCGGUGAAAUGCGUAGAGAUUGGAAGGAACACCGAUGGCGAAGGCACUUUACUGGGCUAUUACUAACACUCAGAGACGAAAGCUAGGGUAGCAAAUGGGAUUAGAUACCCUGGUAGUCCCCU
rnacentral:rRNA from 1 species